GAUGAACGCUAGCGGCAGGCUUAACACAUGCAAGUCGAGGGGUAUAGUUCUUCGGAGCUAGAGACCGGCGCACGGGUGCGUAACGCGUAUGCAAUCUACCUUUUGCAGAGGGAUAGCCCAGAGAAAUUUGGAUUAAUACCUCAUAGUAUGUGAGAAUGGCAUCAUUUUCACAUUAAAGUCACAACGGCAAAAGAUGAGCAUGCGUCCCAUUAGCUUGUUGGUAAGGUAACGGCUUACCAAGGCAACGAUGGGUAGGGGUCCUGAUAGGGAGAGCCCCCACACUGGUACUGAGACACGUACCAGACUCCUACGGGAGGCAGCAGUGAGGAAUAUUGGACAAUGGGCGCAAGCCUGAUCCAGCCAUGCCGCGUGCAGGAUGACGGUCCUAUGGAUUGUAAACUGCUUUUGUACAGGAAGAAACACUGGUUCGUGAACCAGCUUGACGGUACUGCAAGAAUAAGGAUCGGCUAACUCCGUGCCAGCCGCCGCAGUAACAC
rnacentral:rRNA from 1 species